CAAUAGCGUAUAUUAAAGUUGUUGCAGUUAAAAAGCUCGUAGUUGGAUUUGUGGCGUACGGUGUGUUCCGGGCACUUGUUGUCUGAGUAACCUGCUGUUGCCAUCCUUGGGUGGAACCUGUGUGGCAUUAGGUUGUCGUGCAGGGGAUGCCAAUCAUUUACUGUGAAAAAAUUAGAGUGUUCAAAGCAGGCUUAUGCCGUUGAAUAUAUUAGCAUGGAAUAAUGAGAUAGGACUUUUUUGCUAUUUUGUUGGUUUGCGCAAAGAGGUAAUGAUUAAUAGGGACAGUUGGGGGUAUUCGUAUUCCAUUGUCAGAGGUGAAAUUCUUGGAUUUUUGGAAGACGAACUACUGCGAAAGCAUUUACCAAGGAUGUUUUCAUUAA
rnacentral:rRNA from 1 species